UGAGAAUGGUAACCAAUACA
rnacentral:miRNA from 1 species